UACGAGGGGUGCAAGCGUUGCUCGGAAUUAUUGGGCGUAAAGGGUAGGUAGGUGGUCUCAUUUGUCAGGGGUGAAAGCCUUGGGCUUAACCCAAGAAGUGCCCUUGAAACGGUGAGACUGGAGUCUUGGAGAGGGUCGUGGAAUUCCCGGGUGAGCGGUGAAAUGCGUAGAGAUCGGGAGGAACACCAGAGGCGAAGGCGGCGACCUGGACAAGUACUGACACUCAACUACGAAAGCGUGGGUAGCAAACAGG
rnacentral:rRNA from 1 species